CGGUUAAUUGUGAUCUCUCAGUGUAAACACGGUGUUCGGAUUCCCCCCGAAUCCCUCCGAGUGGUUUAAUCCAGCAGCAGCAGCAGCAGCAGCAGAGGCUCCGCUGUGGGUCUGGUCUCGCUCGUGCAGCGCUGCAGCAGCACUCUGGGGCUCGUGUGCAGGUGUGUGCUGUCCACCGUGUUGAGGUGAGGGUGUGGUUGCCAUGGUAACCAUGCCUGUGUUGCCCCUGCCUUCUCCUGGACCCUUUAUCUGCCUCCUCCUCUCCCUGCCACUCAUUAUGUCCCAGAAUCCUCCCCUCCACGUGAACCCGACCGCGAACCCUGACCCGCUGCCCUCCCGCUCUCAGCAGUGCAGCAGGAAGGAGCAUCCGGUUACAUCCUAUACAGCUUUGACCCCCUGGCUCUCAUCCUUUUCGAUGUCUGAAGUGUAUGAUUAUUCCCAGCUCACUGUGGACCUCAGCAGGAGCCAGCUGAUAGUGGGGGCCAGGUAACGCAACUAACGCAAGAAUGCACCACACACACACACACACACACACCAUACACACACACACUCACACACAAAUCAAAAAUGUCUGUGUUCUGAUAUUUUCUUUCUUUGAUCUCUCUCUGUGUCUAUAGAAACUAUCUGUUCAGACUGAAUCUGACUGAUCUCUCUCUAUUACAGGUAAGCUGAGUAACGUUCUCUCUAUCUCACACACAUACACACACACACUCCAUUUCAUCUAAUUCCAGGCACACACACACACACACACACCUUUUUAAGUGUUUUCACCUGUUCCCGAUUGCUCUCUCACACACACACACACACACACACACAGAUACACACUUAAAACCCACAGCUGGGCAGACAUCUGUGUGUGUGUGUUGGAGUGCCAGUUCUUUGGUAUAGAUCAGACAGGAGUGUGUGAGCCUGAUGUUCUUCAUCAUCUUUGCUCUUUCUGAUGCUCAGAAUCAGAAUAUUUAUUCCCCAUGUUCAGAUCUACAAGGAACUGUUCGUAUUAUUAGUGCCAAAACAGCAAACAUCAAAUACUAACAGAAAUACCAACUACUGACAAAUACCAAUCAGAUAUCAAAUACCAAUCAUACUUUUAG
rnacentral:lncRNA from 1 species